rnacentral:lncRNA from 1 species
AAAAAAAUUUAAAGCAGUGAAUCAUUCACCGUCUCGUUCACCGUCUUUAAGAGACAGUACCUGAUUUACCGUCUUCGACGGUGAACGAUUUACCGUUUUCAUAAUUUUCUAUUAUACCGGUCGGGAUUAUACAUAAGAAAGAGAAAAAAAAAAUGGUUAGAAUUGUAUGUGGAUGAUAUGAAAAAUAGAAAAAAAUAAGAUUGUUAGGAUUAUACGUGGAUUAUUAAAAUUUUUAUUUGAUUGUUAGGAUUGUAUGGAUAGAUUAUUAGGAUUUUCAGAUUGUUAAGAUUAUAUGUAAUUUGUUAAAAUUUUUAUGUAGUUGUUAGGAUUAUAUAUGGGAUAUAGAAAGAAAUAGUAAAUAAGCGAAAGACGUUGAAUGAUUCACCACUUUUGUAAAAAAUUAGGAAGAAUCGUUUACCGUCUUCAUGAAGGUGGUAAAUCGUCCACCAUCUUUAUGAGAAAAUUUCAACGUGGCUCUUACAUG